rnacentral:rRNA from 1 species
UGCCAGCCGCCGCGGUAAUACGAAGGGGGCUAGCGUUGCUCGGAAUUACUGGGCGUAAAGGGAGCGUAGGCGGAUAGUUUAGUCAGAGGUGAAAGCCCAGGGCUCAACCUUGGAAUUGCCUUUGAUACUGGCUAUCUUGAGUACGGAAGAGGUAUGUGGAACUCCGAGUGUAGAGGUGAAAUUCGUAGAUAUUCGGAAGAACACCAGUGGCGAAGGCGACAUACUGGUCCGUUACUGACGCUGAGGCUCGAAAGCGUGGGGAGCAAACAGGAUUAGAUACCCUGGUAGUCCACGCUGUAAACGAUGAGUGCUAGUUGUCGGCAUGCAUGCAUGUCGGUGACGCAGCUAACGCAUUAAGCACUCCGCCUGGGGAGUACGGUCGCAAGAUUAAAACUUAAAUGAAUUGGGGG